rnacentral:rRNA from 1 species
CCUACGGGGGGCAGCAGUGGGGAAUAUUGGACAAUGGGGGGAACCCUGAUCCAGCCAUGCCGCGUGUGUGAAGAAGGCCCUCGGGUUGUAAAGCACUUUCAGUGAGGAAGAACGCCUGGUGGUUAAUACCCAUCAGGAAAGACAUCACUCACAGAAGAAGCACCGGCUAACUCCGUGCCAGCAGCCGCGGUAAUACGGAGGGUGCGAGCGUUAAUCGGAAUUACUGGGCGUAAGCGCGCGUAGGUGGCUUGAUAAGCCGGUUGUGAAAGCCCCGGGCUCAACCUGGGAACGGCAUCCGGAACUGUCAAGCUAGAGUGCAGGAGAGGAAGGUAGAAUUCCCGGUGUAGCGGUGAAAUGCGUAGAGAUCGGGAGGAAUACCAGUGGCGAAGGCGGCCUUCUGGACUGACACUGACACUGAGGUGCGAAAGCGUGGGUAGCAAACAGGAUUAGAUACCCCUGUAGUC